UUUUACAGUGGGGGGAACUGAGGCACAGCGAGGCCAAGCACGAUGCCCAAGAUCACACAGCCAGCAGGUGGCCGGGAGGGGCUCGACCCCGUGCUGUCAGGCACCAGAGACUCGGCUCUUCAGCCCCAGGCCAGAGCCUCCCUGCACUGACGGGGUCGCGAAUUCGGGCAGGAGGGUUCGUGUGUGUCCUCACCUCUGGGACGCGAGCUCCGGGGACGGGGGACCUCGUCUGGCGUGGGAGGCAUUUAGUGAGCGCCGUGGACUGAAGCCGGGACGGUCUUAGGAGAACCACUUCCCUUCUUGGCCGCCUGAAACCCCCUACAGGGUUCUGCUUCUGGAACUGCAUUCGAGGUCAGAGUUUCUAGUACGAGUAAAGCGGAUCCUCGGGAAGAGACCCGACCAGAAGGAAAUCGCCGUCUUGGAAGAUCUAAGUCCGGGAUGGAACAAAACCCACUCCGGGCGGGGGGAGCGCGCCACCUGGCGGCGGAUCCUGCUAAGGCAGCGCCGCCCGGAGACCAGAAACGUUGGAUUUGGGCAGUGGGCCGAGGUGGUUGGAAUUGGCGAAUGGGCAGUUGUCUGAAAAUCAUUGUGUGAAACUAAGGACUGUCUACCAGUGGCUUCCAAAAUUCUGA
rnacentral:lncRNA from 1 species